GAAGUCGGGAUUCGUCGCCGGCGACGAGCGGCUGUUCUCGCUCACGCCGCGUGUGCUGGCGCUGGCCUCGGCCUAUCUGUCGUCAAAUCAGAUCGUUGCCGUCAUGCAGCCGCUGAUGGNGUCAUGCAGCCGCUGAUGGACGACAUUUCGACCAAGGCCAGGGAAGUCUGCUCGCUCGCGAUUCUGGACGGGCAGGAAGCCGUCUUCGUCGCGAGAGCCAGUCCGGCGCGGGUUUUUUCCGCCGGCAUCGACAUCGGUUACAAGCUGCCGGCCUAUUGCACGUCGGUGGGCCGCGUUCUGCUCGGCCGCCUCUCCAAUGAAGAGCUGAAAUCCGCGGUUGAG
rnacentral:misc_RNA from 1 species